CCAGACUCCUACGGGAGGCAGCAGUGGGGGAUAUUGCACAAUGGGGGAAACCCUGAUGCAGCGACGCCGCGUGGGCGAAGAAGUAUUUCGGUAUGUAAAGCCCUAUCAGCAGGGAAGAAGAAAUGACGGUACCUGAGUAAGAAGCACCGGCUAAAUACGUGCCAGCAGCCGCGGUAAUACGUAGGGGGCAAGCGUUAUCCGGAUUCACUGGGUGUAAAGGGAGCGUAGACGGCCAUGCAAGCCUGGAGUGAAAGCCCGGGGCCCAACCCCGGGACUGCUCUGGGAACUGUGCGGCUGGAGUGCGGGAGGGGCAGGCGGAAUUCCUGGUGUAGCGGUGAAAUGCGUAGAUAUCAGGAGGAACACCGGCGGCGAAGGCGGCCUGCUGGACCGCGACUGACGUUGAGGCUCGAAAGCGUGGGGAGCAAACAGGAUUAGAUACCCGUGUA
rnacentral:rRNA from 1 species